rfam:Haemonchus contortus, ISE/inbred ISE, WGS project CAVP01000000 data, contig: Hcontortus_18831
AGCACAAACUUGAAGUACAGUAGAUUAGUAGUAUCAGCCGAUCAUACCGAAUUAUUCUACUUCAAGUUUGUGCCC